GGGGCGGGCAAGGAAGUCUCCCGGCGCCGCUCGGCCACUGGGCCUGCGCGGAUCUCCCACGCAUGCGUAGAAAUGCUGGGACCUGGGCGCCGGCAGGCGGGGCAGUGGGAGGAGCCUGGGCGAGGGCUGGAGGACCCGAGUGCGAACCGGUGAUGCGAGAGGCAGGGCGAGGUGUCAACAUGGAAGAGCCGGGGUGGGAAGACAUCUACUUUUAUAUUAACAAUUUAGCGAACCACAUCUGUUGAGCCUCUGUGAGACCUCAGCGACUCUAUUGAAUAAUAAGCUGGACAGCAGUUUAGUGCUUAGAGCUCAGAGUAUAGCCCGUGUGGGGCUACAGGGAUCAAGAAGAACUUAAGAAUCUUUACAUUCACUUGAAAAUGCCUGCUGAAUUUCUGGAUCUUGAGUUAAGUCCACCCCAUGCUCAAGAACCAAAGUGACUGUCGACGGCAGAGCUGGAUGUGCCUGGAUGUCACAAGCUCUUAAUGUCUGCCCACCGACCACCGAGUUACAUCCCAGAUCCUUCGCCAUCUGUACCACAGUCAGUACUUCUGCCUUAUUAUAGUUUCUAGGAUUUAUUUGGGGGGUGUAAUAGGCCCUGUGCUAAGUGCCUUGCUGAUCGUAAGUCAGUUGAUCUUCCAACCCUGAAGUAUUACUAUUGUCCUCGUUUUACACGCAAGGAAACUGAGGUUUAGUUUCUUCACUUGCCCAGGUCACACAGGUGGUAAAAGUGGUGCAUCCAGGAUUCAAGCCCACAGUGUGUCCCUGGAGGCCAAACUCCUCCACACACCAUGUGCUCAGCCAGACCGGACAGCUGCCAUUCCCUGCAGUGCAGUUCACCCCCACCUACAGGCCUGGGCUUGGGAGGGUCCCCCCCUUACAAAGCCAGGGCUCUGAGCGAGGGCAUUUACUCAACACCGGGCACUUGUCUGGAAGGAUUGCAAGGAGGAACUUACCUUGAAGCAGUCCACAGGAGAGAGAAAGAACAUGAAAUGUAUCUGCCCAUUCUCUUCUGCCUCCUGCUUCCCCUUGGUCAAGUUCAUGGUGGAGCUCGUCGGGACACUUUUGUGGCUUUCUGUACUAUGGGCCCUGGCCCAGGAAGAAGAGCAGAAAUAGUGUGAAUGGGGAUGUAGGACUGGGGAUGGCCCACAGGAUAAAGUCUGAAGGGGCAGUAGACUGAGCCUCCAAGGGGAAGUAAAGGGAGAGGAGAGAUUGCUGGUCUGUGAGGUUUGGGAGAGGCUGGAGGACAGACGUCACAGAAGGGCCGAAAGCAGAUAAGAUGGUUUGAGGGAGGGAAGUUAGAAGUAUGCUAUGGUAGAAAGAGUCCUGGACUGGAAGGCCUCAUUUCAAACGCUGCUUCUGCCACUCUUUAGCUGUGUGCCUGUGGGCUCUUCACUUAAUAGCUUUGUUUUCUCAUCUGUGAGAUGUGGAGGUUGAACUAAAUGACCCUCAAGAUACAGCCAAGCUCUAGAAUUCUGUGGGAGGAGGUUGCUGCCAGAGAGGUGGCUGAGGAUUAGAGAUUUGGGAGGUGGCUCAGUCGUGAGAGCCAGAUAAUGAGGUCCAAGGACUGGCCUGACUGGCCACUGCCCUGGGGGAAGUCGGGAUGGUCGGAGGCCCAAGGAGGCCAGAGGAGGCACUGGCAGAGAG
ensembl:lncRNA